rnacentral:rRNA from 1 species
GAUGAACGCUAGCGGCAGGCCUAAUACAUGCAAGUCGAACGGUAAGGCCCUUUCGGGGGUACACGAGUGGCGGACGGGUGCGUAACGCGUAUGCAACAUACCUUCAAGCGGGGGAUAUGCCAGGGAAACUUGGUGCAACACCCCAUAGCAUUUCGGGACCGCAUGGUCUUGGGAUUAAAUAUUUAUAGCUUGGAGAUUGGCAUGCGUGACAUUAGCUAGUUGGCGGGGUAACGGCCCACCAAGGCGACGAUGUCUAGCUGGUCUGAGAGGAUGAUCAGCCACACUGGGACUGAGACACGGCCCAGACUCCUACGGGAGGCAGCAGUAGGGAAUAUUGGACAAUGGGGGGAACCCGUGAUCCAGCCAUGCCGCGUGAGGGAAGAAGGUCCUCUGGAUUGUAAACCUCUUUUGGCGGGGGACAAACCUGCACUAUACGUGCAGCUGAGGGUACCCGGCAGAAUAAGCACCGGCUAACUACCGUCGCCAGCAGCCGCGGUAA